rnacentral:lncRNA from 1 species
GAAGUAUUUUGGGACUUAAGUAUAGCAAUAAAUUACUUGCUGAAGACAAUUCACAUAAAUUAAAUUAUGAGUUUCCCAGUUUAGCAGACAUUUAUUUUUUUAUUUUUAUUUUUUUGAGAUGGAGUUUCACUCUUGUUGCCCAGGCUGGAGUGCAAUGGUACGAUCUCAGCUCACCACAACCUUCACCUCCUGGGUUCAAGGGAUUCUCCUGCCUCAGGCUCCCCAUUAGCUGUGAUUACAGGCAUGCACCACCACACCCGGCUGAUUUUUUUGUAUUUUUAGUAGAUACGGGGUUUCUCCGUGUUUGUCAGGCUAGUCUCCAACUCCCGACCUCAGGUGAUCCGCCUGCCUCGGCCUCCCAAAGUGCUGGGAUUACAGGUGUGAGCCACCGCACCCAGCAGACAUUUAUGAUUUUAAGGAAGGAGUGGUGGGGUUUUGGGGAAUGUCGGUUUGGACCAAAUGAUGCAGGCAGUUUAGCAGAAAAGAAACCAGGAGUCGGGGGCUUGCUGUUCCCAGAUGAGUGUUGGUAGCCCACUCUUUCUCCCCUCCGGUAGCAGCUACACCAUCCUCUAUCUCCUUCCCACUCUCUGAGUAAACCGAGACCAGCAGGGAUGAACUCCCUCCGUUUACUACUAACCCUUACAUGUUUACCUUCAUUGGUCCACACCCACACAUCUUUGCCUCUGUCUCUGAAAAACAGGAGUCCUCACUUUUGCCUCUAUCUUUUCCAGGUUCUGGUGAAACGCAACUCCAUCAACACCUCCCCAGUCCGAUCUUAUCCUCUACGUCUUUUCUCAGUGACACCUUCCUCUCAUACGAGUAAAACUAGAAAAAAAUGAUAGAAUGCGAUUUAUGUUGAUUCCUGGUCAAGUGAACACAAGCCGGCCCACUGAACCAGAAGAAAAGAGUAAUAGAACUCUUGAAAGAGAAGAUAAAACCCACCGUAUCCAGAUAUUGCUGGGAAGAAAAAUAAAAACAACUAUUAAAAAUUUAAAAUCACUUUUAGAAAGCUUCCUUGCAUUAGUGCUAUGAAAUAGAAAGAGUCUUGGAGAACAGGAUUUGUUCACGUUAAGUUGGGCAAGUCUUCUCUUCCUGGGCUCAGUUUCCUCAUCUGCAGUGCAUGAGGUCAUUGAACUCCAUAAGCCCUAAGGAUCCUUCUGGUUUCAAAAAUCCCAUAACGUCUGAUAUAGAACACUUACCUUGACAAAGCUCUUCAAGUCAUUUUCACCUUCACAUAUUGAUUUAUCUGUGUAGUGACAUUUAAAGUGAAUUCUAAUCAGGAAAUAAAAGGCUGAUUUCUUCAGUAGAAGAAAUUGACAAUAAAAAAAUGUGAAUACAAGAGAGAAACAAAGGCCUGAUUACCAGAAGUCGAUCUAUAGGAUACAGAAUGUGGCAUUGUACAAAGUAGAAAUUCCUUUCUAAAAUUUAAGAAGAAAUCAUUGUAACAUCAGGAAUAAACAGGAAAAAGGAGAAAGCAUUAAGAUUUUCCAGUCAAGGAGAGAUCUGGAAACAUAAUGAUUUACCUCCUGCCAUAGCAAGCAUGGUAUAGCAAAUUUUAUGAUUUGGGGUUGAUCAAAAUUAUUGUGUGACGAAGACAUAAUUAAAAAAAGAUUUGACUCUGUCUCUAACCUUUUUUAAGGAAGGAAUUAUUUUCUUAAAAAUCAAGAACAAAUCAAGGACCAAAUAUCUAUAACUAAAGCACAAAUUAAGUGUUCAGAAGAAUAUUGGGGAGAAAAAGCAGAAUGCAAAAGGAAAAAUGCCUUAUGGAAAGAGCAUAGGAUUAAUAGUAAAUGAGGAAGAACUAUGACUCCUAAAGAAUUAUAAAUUUUAAAUUGUAUGAAAAAUAAUAUUGGUAAAACAGAAAAACUAAGAGAUAAUUGUAAGUAAAUAAAAAUGAAACAAGAUGUGUUGCCAUUAUUAUUAUAUAUCAGCUGCCCCAGUAAAGCAAUAAUUCAAGGUCAAAUAACUUAGAAUGGUCAGCACCUAAUAGUCUUGGUAAAUAGAGCAGGUCAAUAAAUAUAUAUUGAUUGGUUGAUUGAAUAAGAAAUGCUUGCAGUUAUUUUAGGAAAAUCAAAGUUGCUUGGGAAGUUAUGCAUGUAAUUUCUUAAACUAAGCAAGUAUAAAUUUCCUUUUGAAACAAUAUAAAACAAAACCUUUCCUAACAGUUACCUCUAAAUCCUAAACAAUGAAAUCUUUUAUAAGAUAAUGUUUAUAUAUAGCAAAACCUAAAUUGGAAAUAGAUAAAAUGUGGAAAUAUAAAUGUGCUUCUGUAGAAAGAAAUUAUAUUUUAUAUCUUUGAUGGUUUUUGAUAGGUGGUUGGAAUAGGGAAAAUUCUGUGUGAACAAUUUACCAAAAAAAUGCUAUACUUUCCUCUAAACCAAUAUUUGGACAUAUAAAUAUUUUCCAACUGGGUUCAGUUUUUGAUAUGGCCAAAGAUAAUGAUAUGUUAUUUCAAGACUGUAAGUCAAAAUAAAAUUGAUUUGAAAUGGUCUGAAUUAAU